rnacentral:rRNA from 1 species
AUUGAACGCUGGCGGCAGGCCUAACACAUGCAAGUCGAACGAGUGGCGGACGGGUGAGUAAUGUCUGGGAAACUGCCUGAUGGAGGGGGCUAACUACUGGAAACGGUAGCUAAUACCGCAUACCAUCGGAUGUGCCCAGAGGGGAGUAGCUAGUAGGUGGGGUAAAGGCUCACCUAGGCGACGAUCCCUAGCUGGUCUGAGAGGAUGACCAGCCACACUGGAACUGAGACACGGUCCAGACUCCUACGGGAGGCAGCAGUGGGGAAUAUUGGACAAUGGGCGAAAGGCUGAUGGAGCCAUGCCGCGUGUAUGAAGAAGGCCUUCGGGUUGUAAAGCACUUUCAGCGGGGAGGCGUUACCCGAAGAAGAAGCACCGGCUAACUACGUGCCAGCAGCCGCGGUAAUUC